CGCUGAACUCUGUCCACACGUUUUGGUCAAGACUGUAGACUGUGACGUUGUUAUUGUUGUUUUGCACUCGGAGCUUUCCACAGGAUCCACAGCCUCAAAAAACUAUAGCUUGAGUUUGGAGUAAGGAACGUUCCAAUCCGCAAAAUUGCAGCAUCCUUAGGACCUCAAACCUCCAUCGCUUAACCGCGUUCCUGUUUUUCUACGCAUUAAGUGGCUGAUACCACAUCAUCGUUGAAAGGUAAAGGCAAUAAAUCAUUCAGCGUUGCAAAAAAUCAUUCAGAGGAGCAACGUCGGAAGAUAAUAUAUCUAAAGCAGACAGUGAUCUUUUGAAACAAUUUGUUGCAGCUCUUUAUUGCAGCACAUUUGAUGGCGACAAGGUCAACGAUGCAAGGCGAUACUUUUUCAUAAGCAAGGGAAAAACCAUUGACAAUAUAUUCCCAACUGCCAACAACUGGUGCAUUGGACGAACACGUAAAAACGAUCUGCGUUACAAGCACGAAAGUGAUACAAUUGUUUAUGAAGCCGCAAGAGUAGCGCUGGAACCCACAUAUUGGGGAUGAAUGAAGGAUGGCGAAGUUUGGAGCCGCAAUGCCGCAUGCCCGACGUUUCCCAAUGACUGAAGCGCUGAUUUGUUGUCAGGGUGUAGUGGUGCACCAAAUGUAGGGUUGGUAGAUGAAAUGCAAAGAGUUUGUUGAAGUAUACAGAGCUGUGUAGAUGUCACUAAGCGAAAUGUUAGAUAAUGCCAAAAACAACCAUGCUGCGUCAAAAAUUAACAUUGCGGACCUCACUGACAGACAUAAAGAAUAUAAAUUUCGCGUCGUUAACAUUUGGUCUUUAAAUGAGUAUAUAGCUCCUACUUUUGAAACAUAGCAAUUCCUUUAUAUUUGUGGGCAAAGUCCCCGUACAUUUGUGAGCGUUACCGUAAUUUAUUUUUUACCAAAAAGACCACACAAGCCGAAGGAGUCUUUUAUGACACUUUAUGACGCAUUAUAUGACAUUUUACUCUUUAUAUUAUAUAUUCUGGAUACAAUAUACUCAGGAAAAGCGGUAAAACAUCAAAUUUUAGGGUAAUGUGACUGCUCAUGCGCACUACUGUUUUUCUGAAAUAUCCUUAAUUUCAUGACAAUGCAACAUACAAUAUUGUUGAAAGCCUUCUCUUGCGUGUAUUUUUGCUAAGCGUGUCCAUUUGUUCACAGAUGUGAUGACUAAAUGAGAUAAUUUUCCUCAAGGCGC